rnacentral:lncRNA from 1 species
GCAACAAGUCAAAAGUAGGUCUACUGAGAAGUUUAUGCAAAGAGAAUAUUUCUGGUAUAUACAGUUGUGUCUUGUUCUCAGAUGCCCACACCAAAGCAAUUACCAUAUGGGAGAUGCUGACUGGCUGGAAGAACCUGUUCAUUCUGGGUCUGUAAUGGAGUCUGUGAGGAGCUCAGCUUCCUGGUAUGGAAGAAGGAGAACUUCCUUGUCAACAACUGAGAAGAUUCUGAAGAACUCAAAGAAGCAGCUUAAUUCUGAAGAGAGAAGACCUUUUCAACUAAAACCCUGGGAUGUCACUGAAGGAAAUGUAAAAGCCAAACAUUUGGACAAUUUGGAAACAGAUUUGAAGGGUUUUUUCCAAGUUGAAAUAACUGUCUGA